rnacentral:rRNA from 1 species
UACGUAGGGUGCAGGCGUUAAUCGGAAUUACUGGGCGUAAAGCGUGCGCAGGCGGUCUUUUAAGUCAGAUGUGAAAUCCCCGGGCUUAACCUGGGAACUGCGUUUGAAACUGGAAGGCUUGAGUGUGGCAGAGGGGGGUGGAAUUCCACGUGUAGCAGUGAAAUGCGUAGAGAUGUGGAGGAACACCAAUGGCGAAGGCAGCACUCUGGGACGUGACUGACGCUGAGACGCGAAAGCGUGGGGAGCAAACAGG